rnacentral:misc_RNA from 1 species
GGUUCAAAAUCUCACUGCUCAGGUGAGUGCAGAGUUGUAGAUGUUUGCAUUUAUAAUUCAAAUGACUUGAUCUCCAUAACAGGUUCUAGUUUGAUUUGUUAUGUGAGUACAUACGUUUUCUUGCCCUUUUCUGGGUCUGCCCAUCUCAUGGGUGGUGUAGCUGUGGAGAUAGGGGAAUCUAACCUCUAAACUCUCUCCUCCUCCCUCUCCUUUUGGCUCUUGUUGUCUCACACACACAAUCACAUGCA